AUUCAGUUGACGAGUCCCAAAUAAGACAAAACACGCGUCCUGGAU
rnacentral:hammerhead_ribozyme from 1 species